rnacentral:rRNA from 1 species
GAAUAUUGGGCAAUGGGCGCAAGCCUGACCCAGCAACGCCGCGUGAAGGAAGAAGGCUUUCGGGUUGUAAACUUCUUUUGACAGGGAAGAGUAGAAGACGGUACCUGUCGAAUAAGCCACGGCUAACUACGUGCCAGCAGCCGCGGUAAUACGUAGGUGGCAAGCGUUGUCCGGAUUUAUUGGGUUUAAAGGGUGCGUAGGCGGGAUGCCAAGUCAGCGGUCAAAUACGGGGGCUCAACCUGCGUCCGCCGUUGAAACUGGCGUUCUUGAGUGGGCGAGAAGUACGCGGAAUGCGUGGUGUAGCGGUGAAAUGCAUAGAUAUCACGCAGAACCCCGAUUGCGAAGGCAGCGUACCGGCGCCCUACUGACGCUGAAGCACGAAAGCGUGGGUAUCGAACAG